rnacentral:rRNA from 1 species
UACAGAGGGUGCGAGCGUUGUUCGGAACUAUUGGGCGUAAAGGGCGCGUAGGCGGUGCGGUAAGUCACCUGUGAAAUCUCCUGGCUCAACCUCGGGUCUGCAGUGGGUACGGGCAGGCUAGAGUGCGGGUAGGGGAGAAUGGAACUCCUGGUGUAGCGGUGGAAUGCGCAGAUAUCAGGAAGAACACCGAGUGGAGCGGAAUGGCAGUUCGUCCUGGGACCGUAAC